UGCCGGUGAUGAUUUUUAACAUUUCUGACACCUCAAAUGAGUGCUGCUAAUGCAGUAGUUGAUUACACUUUUAAUCUGAGGCAC